UGGGGAAUAUUGCACAAUGGGCGCAAGCCUGAUGCAGCCAUGCCGCGUGUGUGAAGAAGGCCUUCGGGUUGUAAAGCACUUUCAGCGAGGAGGAAGGCAGUCGUGUUAAUAGCACGGUUGAUUGACGUUACUCGCAGAAGAAGCACCGGCUAACUCCGUGCCAGCAGCCGCGGUAAUACGGAGGGUGCAAGCGUUAAUCGGAAUUACUGGGCGUAAAGCGCACGCAGGCGGUUUGUUAAGUCAGAUGUGAAAUCCCCGCGCUUAACGUGGGAACUGCAUUUGAAACUGGCAAGCUAGAGUCUUGUAGAGGGGGGUAGAAUUCCAGGUGUAGCGGUGAAAUGCGUAGAGAUCUGGAGGAAUACCGGUGGCGAAGGCGGCCCCCUGGACAAAGACUGACGCUCAGGUGCGAAAGCGUGGG
rnacentral:rRNA from 1 species